rnacentral:rRNA from 1 species
ACUCCUACGGGAGGCAGCAGUAGGGAAUCUUCCACAAUGGGCGCAAGCCUGAUGGAGCAACACCGCGUGAGUGAAGAAGGGUUUCGGCUCGUAAAGCUCUGUUGUUAAAGAAGAACACGUAUGAGAGUAACUGUUCAUACGUUGACGGUAUUUAACCAGAAAGUCACGGCUAACUACGUGCCAGCAGCCGCGGUAAUACGUAGGUGGCAAGCGUUAUCCGGAUUUAUUGGGCGUAAAGAGAGUGCAGGCGGUUUUCUAAGUCUGAUGUGAAAGCCUUCGGCUUAACCGGAGAAGUGCAUCGGAAACUGGAUAACUUGAGUGCAGAAGAGGGUAGUGGAACUCCAUGUGUAGCGGUGGAAUGCGUAGAUAUAUGGAAGAACACCAGUGGCGAAGGCGGCUACCUGGUCUGCAACUGACGCUGAGACUCGAAAGCAUGGGUAGCGAACAGGAUUAGAUACCCUGGUAGCACGAUG